rnacentral:rRNA from 1 species
CACCCUCCCACCCUUGUGUAUUAUUACUUUGUUGCUUUGGCGAGCUGCCUUCGGGCCUUGUAUGCUCGCCAGAGAAUACCAAAACUCUUUUUAUUAAUGUCGUCUGAGUACUAUAUAAUAGUUAAAACUUUCAACAACGGAUCUCUUGGUUCUGGCAUCGAUGAAGAACGCAGCGAAAUGCGAUAAGUAAUGUGAAUUGCAGAAUUCAGUGAAUCAUCGAAUCUUUGAACGCACAUUGCGCCCCUUGGUAUUCCGGGGGGCAUGCCUGUUCGAGCGUCAUUUCAACCCUCAAGCUUAGCUUGGUAUUGAGUCUAUGUCAGUAAUGGCAGGCUCUAAAAUCAGUGGCGGCGCCGCUGGGUCCUGAACGUAGUAAUAUCUCUCGUUACAGGUUCUCGGUGUGCUUCUGCCAAAACCCAAAUUUUUCUAUGGUUGACCUCGGAUCAGGUAGGGAUACCCGCUGAACUUAAGCAUAUCAAAACCGCGGAGAGAAAAAUCAU